CCCUACGGGGUGCACAAGACGACAUCUCCCGUUUCGGGAGGAGGGGAGUCCGGGAAAUCGUCCGUCAGUUGAUAGUCUCCCGUCGUGAUGCGAAUCCUCACCUUCCGGCCGCUGGUCCUUCGCAGCUCUUUUGAAAUCCGUUCGAAUUCUUCGCGCUUCUCUUCGGCGAUAGCCUUCAGUGGCGUCACAUAAAUGGAACGCUUCCCCUCGGUCAGGGCCUGAUGAAAGAUCCUCAGGACGGCUAUGAGGGUCUUGCCGCUGUUGGUCGGUGUACAGACGAGGAAAUGCUGGUCGUGAUCCAGAAUACCCCGUUGGAGGGC
rnacentral:rRNA from 1 species